CAAAUCUAGCUGAGACGUUUCACUUCGUUUUCUUCUCUCCGCUUACCUAUCGAACCAGAGAACAGACGCGACAGUCGUAGCGGACAGUGGUUGCGUCGCUGAUUGUUCAAGGCCCCUCUCAACAUUUGAUUGAUAUUGGCAUUGAAAGCAAACAAUAAAUGAAUCACAUUGCAAGGGUUUUUGAAGAUUUGAAGUAGCCCUAACUGAUAAGAAGAACACAACAACUCCAUUGCAACAGGCAGAGCAGUGUAUGAAAGCUAAACAUAUCAGAAGAAUGACAAUAGUUGUGGUUUAGUAUUCCAAGCCUCGAAUCCACAGACUUCACAAUUCUUUCGACGCACAACUCUAAGAAGUUUCGUACCUGCACUUGAGUAAAUUGGUGACUCUCCAAGGAGCAUCAGGUGCUUUCUUACGCCUUCUCUUUGAUCAGCUCAUUUUCUCUCCUAUUUUCAUUGGGGUCUUCUUAUCUACUCUGGUUACUCUAGAGGGGAGGCCAUCACAAGUAGUGCCAAAGCUUCAACAGGAGUGUUUUAAAAUGCGGAGGCGUGACACAAGGCGUUCCACUACCUAGAGGCGUGAGGCAUAGCUCAGAACAUGAGAGGCGUAAGUCUCAAGAGGGAAGAAUUCACCUUUAUACAAUAUCCACGAUUUUAUUUUUUGAGAUGUUUGGCCCCUUGUAAGUUUCACUUUCAUAUCUUGUCAAAUCCCCUUAUGGUUUUGUUAAUGGUGAAUGAUAAAUCUUAAGCUAAAUAGAGCUGUCAUGGGUUGGGUUUGAUCUUGGACGAGACUAAUCCAUUAUUCUAAGUCUAGGAAAUCAUUUUUAUUGAAUUGAUUUUUGGGCUGAUUUGGUAUAAUAUUUGGAUGGUCUAUGUUGGUUGAAAUCGUAGUAUGAAUUUUUGAGAUCA